AAUGAAGAAAAUAUAGAUAGAAAGAUAGGAAGAAAGAAUGGAGAGAUAGAUCAAGCCAAGAGAUCAAGAUCUGAAUAAAAAGAUCGUUUAAUAUGAAAGCAGAGUGAGCGAGAAUAAUACUGAGCUGCUGAUACAAAGGCAUUUAAUUUUGGCAUCGCAAAAUAACAAAAACAACAAUAUGUCACUAAGUAAUUUAACUGAUAAUCGAUCUAAAUAACUUUUGUACGAUCGAUCGUAUGAUUGCAGGUAACAAAGAACUGCGAAGAGAUGUUAGAAAAUAAAUACUAGAUAUGUAGCAACAUGAUUGCUCAUCGUCUAAACAAUUUGUAUAAAAUACUUCUCUCCUUGUGACUCUGCAUUAUCACGUUGAAAACAUCCAACCAACAAUAUAAACUGUAUAAGAAUCUUUCAAAUACGAAGCGUCAUCAUAGGAAAACAUUAAAGUAUUACCGAGUCAACAAAAUCGGUUAGAAGUUAUUGGCUUAGAAAGCAAAGAAGCGUGAUCUCCAAGUGCGCCAGCAAAAGAGCUUUUUUUAGCCUGAAUUUGGCUCGGUUCUUAGACACAGACAGAGCGAGUGCGAGAGCGAGAGCGAGAAAGAAAGAAAAAGAAAGAGAAAGAAAAAAGCUUCAGAACUACUAUAAAACACGAUUGUCCUACCUGAGAACAAUGAGAGCAGCUUUAGAAGAAAAAACAAUAUCAACACAACAGGUAUCUGAUUGAAAAAUUGUAUGUACAAAAAUACUUUUGUCAAGAAGGACGGUCAGUGAACGUGAGUACAAAGAAGGAUUAAAGAAAGACACAGAUUUAGUCAGAGGAACCUUGAGUUAGAAAGUUAACGUAUAGAUAGAAAAUUUAAGAACAAACGAAUGUGUAAAUUUGUCGUGUUUAUAAUAUAUUGUUAUAUUUUAAAUAAAUGAAAUCAUCGAUGUAUUUAGAAUGUUAAAAAUUUGUUUGAAGAUAAUCUUGGUACUUCAUACAAAAAUAUCAUUUUAUUUUGUGUGUGUGUUUUUUUUCAGGUAAGGUAGAUGAUAAAAGCAAUCUGGGAAACAAAGGAUUGUAGAUAGAUAAUAAAAAAAAAAAGAAGAAAGGAUAUAAGAAAAUAAGUUCUAGUGAUAGAUUAAGCUUUCACAGACUUGGAUUUUGUUAGGAUCUACUCACUACUGGUCACCCGAUUAGUUAGCUACGUGUAUUCGGCUUGUUUGAGAUCAAGAGCAAUGACUACCGUUGUCGCUGGUAGCCAGCGACUUACUUCUCUAAAAAUACCAUUUCGAAAGACCGCGUGCGCUUUACAUGUCGACAAACGCGCAGGAAAUAUCAUUGCGCAGUCGCGAUUGAAAAUUCCAUAUGUAAACGUUUUAACAAAAAUAAGAAGAAAAUGUAUAUAGUUAUGUCUUUAUUUAUGGAUACUGUUUUCCUCUCAUGACAAAGAAUUCAGUGAUUACAAUAUGAUAUUACAACAUGAUUAUUAGAUUUACAAAGAGAUACAUCAACUCGUUAUAUUCUUCCAAAUAAAAAUAAACAAUUGAAAUAAAUGUAUACAGAGGAGAGAUUAACAUUAAGAAUUUUUGUUCGGAUAAAAGGUAAAGAAACAAUUCACAAGAUUUAUAUAAAAUAAUCAAUAAAAAAGCAAAAGAAAUUAA